AUUGAACGCUGGCGGCAUACCUUACACAUGCAAGUCGAACGGCAGCACGGGUGCUUGCACCUGGUGGCGAGUGGCGAACGGGUGAGUAAUACAUCGGAACAUGUCCUGUAGUGGGGGAUAGCCCGGCGAAAGCCGGAUUAAUACCGCAUACGAUCCACGGAUGAAAGCGGGGGACCUUCGGGCCUCGCGCUAUAGGGUUGGCCGAUGGCUGAUUAGCUAGUUGGUGGGGUAAAGGCCUACCAAGGCGACGAUCAGUAGCUGGUCUGAGAGGACGACCAGCCACACUGGGACUGAGACACGGCCCAGACUCCUACGGGAGGCAGCAGUGGGGAAUUUUGGACAAUGGGCGAAAGCCUGAUCCAGCAAUGCCGCGUGUGUGAAGAAGGCCUUCGGGUUGUAAAGCACUUUUGUCCGGAAAGAAAUCCUUGGCUCUAAUACAGUCGGGGGAUGACGGUACCGGAAGAAUAAGCACCGGCUAACUACGUG
rnacentral:rRNA from 1 species